CAGAAAGUAUAGAAGAACGACCAGAGGCCGAAUCCAUCUCCUCCAGUUGCCACAAGUACAAGGCAUAUUUUUAAUGAUCUAUCUGCUGCCUUCGGCACCGUGAACCAUCAGAUCCUCCUCUCCACCCUCUCACUGCUGGGCCUCACUCUUGGAUUACAUCCUAUCUGGCAGGCCGCUCCUACCAGGUGGCAACAAGCAUCUCGGCGUGCCUGGCAGAUAUCUCAGCUUGGAUGUCGGCCCACCACUUCAAGCUCAACCUAGACAUGACGGAGAUCUUAAGAUGAAUGCAACAACUGUAAGUCGCUCUGGAUAAGAGCGUCUGCUAAAUGGCUAAAAUGCUAAAAUGACCAUCUUGAUUUUAAAAAGAUAUCGGUCACAAUGUUUAGGUUGUCUAAGAAGAUUUCAUGGUGUUCACUUUAAAUGUCCAACACAACCUUGUAACUAAAGCCAUUGCACUGAUCUCAAGCAAAGAGUUGAGAACCUGCAGAUUUGAUUAAAGUUGUUCUCCAUUCUUCUUUUCACCAAAUUUUUCACCUGUUUACUUCACAAAAGGCACAAAAGGCAUCUCAAUAGGUGGUCCAGGAAUUGUCUUUUGUUCUCUAUGGCUCCUCAAGAAAGGGGAGAG